UUUCAAACCCUUGAUAUCAACACGUCUUUCUUCUUCUUCAUUGUUCUACCAUCCAUCGCAUAAUGUUCUCCCCACCACGUUCUUUUAUGACUACAAGCUACUCAAUCUGUUUUGCAUCAACGGAACAAUUAGAUCUUAUAACAACAGUCCACGAUCCAGGGGAUACGAUUAUCAGGUAUUAAAUCUUCUUUUGCGUUUCAACCAUCCUA
rnacentral:lncRNA from 1 species